GAUGAACGCGGCGGCGUGCUUAACACAUGCAAGUCGAACGAAGCUGCCUGGAGGAAGUUUUCGGAUGGAAUUUAGGUAGACUUAGUGGCGGACGGGUGAGUAACGCGUGGAUAACCUGCCUUAUACAGGGGGAUAACGGAGAGAAAUUUCCGCUAAGACCGCAUAAGACCACAGCACCGCAUGGUGCAGGGGUAAAAUAUUAAUAGGUAUAAGAUGGAUCCGCGUCCGAUUAGCUGGUUGGUGAGGUAGAGGCUCACCAAGGCGACGAUCGGUAGCCGGCCUGAGAGGGUGAACGGCCACAUUGGGACUGAGACACGGCCCAAACUCCUACGGGAGGCAGCAGUGGGGAAUAUUGGACAAUGGGGGAAACCCUGAUCCAGCGACGCCGCGUGAGUGAAGAAGUAUUUCGGUAUGUAAAGCUCUAUCAGCGGGAAGAAAAUGACGGACCUGAAUAA
rnacentral:rRNA from 1 species